ACACUCCUACGGGAGGCAGCAGUGGGGAAUAUUGGACAAUGGGCGCAAGCCUGAUCCAGCCAUGCCGCGUGAGUGAUGAAGGCCCUAGGGUUGUAAAGCUCUUUCACCGGUGAAGAUAAUGACGGUAACCGGAGAAGAAGCCCCGGCUAACUUCGUGCCAGCAGCCGCGGUAAUACGAAGGGGGCUAGCGUUGUUCGGAUUUACUGGGCGUAAAGCGCACGUAGGCGGACUAUUAAGUCAGGGGUGAAAUCCCGGGGCUCAACCCCGGAACUGCCUUUGAUACUGGUAGUCUUGAGUUCGGGAGAGGUGAGUGGAAUUCCGAGUGUAGAGGUGAAAUUCGUAGAUAUUCGGAGGAACACCAGUGGCGAAGGCGGCUCACUGGCUCGAUACUGACGCUGAGGUGCGAAAGCGUGGGGAGCAAACAGGAUUAGAAACCCUGGUAGUCCCA
rnacentral:rRNA from 1 species